GGUAAUAGAUCUGAUCUAUUAUAUUUUACAUACAUUAGAUGUAGUAUAGAAACAUGUUGAUAUAAUCAACAUGUAGUUCUUGCUCUUUAUAUUUUAAUUUCUGAUUUAAUACCUUGUAAUAAUCAUAUAAUAGGAUCUUAGACCUAGGGAUUCUCUGAUUUUACAAGAUAAAUUUUGAUUUAUUUUAAUCUUCCACUGCAUGAUCUUGAAAAAGUUUCAAGAUCUAACCUUAAAACCC
rnacentral:lncRNA from 1 species